GACGAACGCUGGCGGCGCGCUUAACACAUGCAAGUCGAACGGUAAGGCCCUUCGGGGUACACGAGUGGCGAACGGGUGAGUAACACGUGGGUGAUCUGCCCUGCACUUCGGGAUAAGCCUGGGAAACUGGGUCUAAUACCGGAUAGGACUCCGGACUGCAUGGUCUGGGGUGGAAAGCUUUUGCGGUGUGGGAUGGGCCCGCGGCCUAUCAGCUUGUUGGUGGGGUGAUGGCCUACCAAGGCGACGACGGGUAGCCGGCCUGAGAGGGUGACCGGCCACACUGGGACUGAGAUACGGCCCAGACUCCUACGGGAGGCAGCAGUGGGGAAUAUUGCACAAUGGGCGCAAGCCUGAUGCAGCGACGCCGCGUGAGGGAUGACGGCCUUCGGGUUGUAAACCUCUUUCAGCAUCGACGAAGCGAAAGUGACGGUAGGUGCAGAAGAAGAACCGGCCAACUACGUGCCAGCCGCCGCAGUAA
rnacentral:rRNA from 1 species